AGGCUUGAACAGCGAGUGACCAUUCCUGAAAAGGAACUUCCGCAAGGACACUCGUAGAGGUGCUGCAUGGCUGUCGUCAGCUCGUGUCGUGAGAUGUUGGGUUAAGUCCCGNAACGAGCGCAACCCUUGUUUGCUGUUGCCAUCAGGUAAAGCUGGGCACUCUGCAAAGACUGCCGGUGAUAAACCGGAGGAAGGUGGGGAUGACGUCAAGUCAGCAUGGCCUUUAUGUCUGGGGCUACACACGUGCUACAAUGGCCGGUACAAACCGUCGCAAAACCGUAAGGUCGAGCUAAUCGGAGAAAGCCGGUCUCAGUUCGGAUCGUAGGCUGCAACUCGCCUGCGUGAAGUUGGAAUCGCUAGUAAUCGCGGAUCAGCACGCCGCGGUGAAUACGUUCCCGGGCCUUGUACACACCGCCCGUCACAUCACGAAAGCCGGUUGUACUAGAAGUCGCCAUACCAACCCGCAAGGGAGGGAGGCGCCUAAGGUAUGGUCGGUGAUUGGGGUGAAGUCGUAACAAGGUAGGCGUAGUGCU
rnacentral:rRNA from 1 species